AGUGAACGCUGGCGGUAGGCCUAACACAUGCAAGUCGAACGGCAGCACAGUAAGAGCUUGCUCUUACGGGUGGCGAGUGGCGGACGGGUGAGGAAUACAUCGGAAUCUACUCUUUCGUGGGGGAUAACGUAGGGAAACUUACGCUAAUACCGCAUACGACCUACGGGUGAAAGCAGGGGAUCUUCGGACCUUGCGCGAUUGAAUGAGCCGAUGUCGGAUUAGCUAGUUGGCGGGGUAAAGGCCCAUCAAGGCGACGAUCCGUAGCUGGUCUGAGAGGAUGAUCAGCCACACUGGAACUGAGACACGGUCCAGACUCCUACGGGAGGCAGCAGUGGGGAAUAUUGGACAAUGGGCGCAAGCCUGAUCCAGCCAUACCGCGUGGGUGAAGAAGGCCUUCGGGUUGUAAAGCCCUUUUGUUGGGAAAGAAAAGCAGCAGGUUAAUACCCCGCUGUUCUGACGGUACCCAAAGAAUAAGCACCGGCUAACUUCGUG
rnacentral:rRNA from 1 species